AUUGAACGCUGGCGGCAGGCCUAACACAUGCAAGUCGAGCGGAUGAAGGGAGCUUGCUCCUGGAUUCAGCGGCGGACGGGUGAGUAAUGCCUAGGAAUCUGCCUGGUAGUGGGGGAUAACGUCCGGAAACGGGCGCUAAUACCGCAUACGUCCUGAGGGAGAAAGUGGGGGAUCUUCGGACCUCACGCUAUCAGAUGAGCCUAGGUCGGAUUAGCUAGUUGGUGGGGUGAAGGCCUGCCAAGGCGACGAUCCGUAACUGGUCUGAGAGGAUGAUCAGUCACACUGGAACUGAGACACGGUCCAGACUCCUACGGGAGGCAGCAGUGGGGAAUAUUGGACAAUGGGCGAAAGCCUGAUCCAGCCAUGCCGCGUGUGUGAAGAAGGUCUUCGGAUUGUAAAGCACUUUAAGUUGGGAGGAAGGGCAGUAAGUUAAUACCUUGCUGUUUUGACGUUACCAACAGAAUAAGCACCGGCUAACUUCGUG
rnacentral:rRNA from 1 species